rnacentral:rRNA from 1 species
AACGAACGCUGGCGGCAGGCCUAACACAUGCAAGUCGAACGCUGUAGCAAUACAGAGUGGCAGACGGGUGAGUAACGCGUGGGAACGUGCCCUUUGGUUCGGAAUAACCCAGGGAAACUUGGGCUAAUACCGGAUACGUCCGUAAGGAGAAAGAUUUAUCGCCAAAGGAUCGGCCCGCGUCGGAUUAGCUAGUUGGUGAGGUAAAGGCUCACCAAGGCGACGAUCCGUAGCUGGUCUGAGAGGAUGACCAGCCACACUGGGACUGAGACACGGCCCAGACUCCUACGGGAGGCAGCAGUGAGGAAUAUUGGACAAUGGGCGCAAGCCUGAUCCAGCCAUGCCGCGUGAGUGAAGAAGGCCUUAGGGUUGUAAAGCUCUUUCAGCGGGGAAGAUAAUGACGGUACCCGCAGAAGAAGCCCCGGCUAACUCCGUGCCAGCAGCCGCCGUAAG